AAUGAACGCUGGCGGCGUGGAUUAGGCAUGCAAGUCGAACGGUGGCCUAGCUUUUUCGGGUCAUAGUGGCGAAAGGGUGAGUAACACGUGGGAUACCUGCCCUCGAGUUCGGGAUAACCUAUCGAAAGAUGGGCUAAUACCGGAUACGUUCCCGUGCUUUCGAGUACGGGAGGUAAGAUGGGGAGCUCGCAAGAGCCCUCGCUUUAGGAUGAGACUGCGUCCCAUUAGCUAGUUGGUAGGGUAAUGGCCUACCAAGGCUACGAUGGGUAGCUGGUCUGAGAGGACGAUCAGCCACACUGGAACUGAAACACGGUCCAGACUCCUACGUGAGGCAGCAGUGGGGAAUCUUGCGCAAUGGACGAAAGUCUGACGCAGCAACGCCGCGUGAGUGAAGAAGGCCUGCGGGUCGUAAAGCUCUGUCGAAUGGGACGAAAACUUCAUAGGUUAAUAGCCUAUGGAAUUGACGGUACCAUUAGAGGAAGCACCGGCUAACUCCGUGCCAGCAGCCGCGGUAA
rnacentral:rRNA from 1 species